rnacentral:rRNA from 1 species
UACCCGCAGCACAAGUGGUGGUCAUUAUUAUUGGGCCUAAAGCGUCCGUAGCUGGCCUGUUAGAUGCCUGGGUAAAUCGAUGCGCUUAACGUAUCGAAUUCCGGGUAGACCGGCAGGCUCGAGACCGGGAGAGGCGUGAGCUACUCAAGGGGUAGGGGUAAAAUCCUGUAAUCCUUUGGGGAGGGCCAGUGGCGAAGGCGUCACGCUAGAACGGCUCUGACAGUGAGGGACGAAGCCCUGGGGCGCAAACCGG